GUGAGGCCUGGUCAGUGAUUUCUUAAACACAUGUCUUAGCGUGAGGAUAGUAAUGUAUCAUAAUAAAUUGGCAUUUAAUUGGUGUCUAGAAGUAAUGGUCACAUGAUUUGUAUAUUGUCUUUUAUGUAAACACAAAAAACUUAAAAUUAUAGUUAAGAUGCUGUAUAAAAUUUAUAAGACAAGAAGACCCCUAAACCUUUACUUCUGUCAGGUUUAUCUUAAAAUAACAUGAUUUAUUAAAAACCUGUAAGAAGUUUGACUGGGACGGUUGGCUUUUAAAAAAAACAAAGCUAAUAAGAGUUUUUUUUUUAGUAAAAAUAAAUAUUUUGUUUAGGUAAACCCCUUAUCAAUCUUAAAAAGGGUAUGCUAUGACCCCCCAUAUUUAUGGGGUUUAAUUGAAUAGGUACUUAGGGGAUAACAGCGUAAUAUUUACAAAGAGCUGAAAUCUAAGUAAAGGUUUGCGACCUCGAUGUUGAAUUGGGGUAUCCUAAGUAUAGCACUAGUACUUAAAG
rnacentral:rRNA from 1 species